rnacentral:rRNA from 1 species
GACGAACGCUGGCGGCGUGCCUAAUACAUGCAAGUUGAGCGCUGAAGGUUGGUACUUGUACCGACUGGAUGAGCAGCGAACGGGUGAGUAACGCGUGGGGAAUCUGCCUUUGAGCGGGGACAACAUUUGGAAACGAAUGCUAAUACCGCAUAAAAACUUUAAACACAAGUUUUAAGUUUGAAAGAUGCAAUUGCAUCACUCAAAGAUGAUCCCGCGUUGUAUUAGCUAGUUGGUGAGGUAAAGGCUCACCAAGGCGAUGAUACAUAGCCGACCUGAGAGGGUGAUCGGCCACAUUGGGACUGAGACACGGCCCAAACUCCUACGGGAGGCAGCAGUAGGGAAUCUUCGGCAAUGGACGAAAGUCUGACCGAGCAACGCCGCGUGAGUGAAGAAGGUUUUCGGAUCGUAAAACUCUGUUGGUAGAGGAGAACGUUGGUGAGAGUGGAAAGCUCAUCAAGUGACGGUAACUACCCAGAAAGGGACGGCUAACUACGUG